UACGUAGGGUGCGAGCGUUGUCCGGAAUUACUGGGCGUAAAGAGCUCGUAGGUGGUUUGUCGCGUUGUCCGUGAAAACUCACAGCUUAACUGUGGGCGUGCGGCGAUACGGGCAGACGUGGAGUACUGCAGGGGAGACUGGAAUUCCUGGUGUAGCGGUGGAAUGCGCAGAUAUCAGGAGGAACACCGAUGGCGAAGGCGGCUCACUGGCCCGGUACUGACGCUGAGGUGCGAAAGCGUGGGGAGCAAACGGAUAGAUACCCUGGU
rnacentral:rRNA from 1 species